GCUUUACUGUCACCAAGCCUGCUAACAAUAACCUUAUUUUCAAUGAGCAAGUCCACAUCCUUUUCAACGUCCACAAGAAAAUCCAAUAGCUUAACAUAACGGCAGAUAAACUCUUGUCUUGGAUAAUGACACUGUUCCAAGGCCAUGAGGUUUCGAAAGAGACAUUCGGUGCUGUUGUCGAUUUCAAGUGGUGGCAUAUGUAACUCACCUUUCUUGACUGGAUUCUCAUUUUCCUUCCAGGCUCUUAUGUCAAGCAAGCAUGCAUCCGGCAAUGCCUUGAACUUAAUUCCUGCUCGGUGCAGCAUGGUUGCGCUGUAAAGAUUUUUAAUUUGCUUUCCAUCUGGUGAUUCUAGCUGCGGGUGCUUGAAGGAUAGAAAAUGUCUUACCAAAUCAGUGAAAUGAUCCGACAAUGCCUUGAACUUAAUUCCUGCUUGGUGCAGCAUGGUUGCGCUAUAAAGAUUUUUAAUUUGCUUUCCAUCUGGUGAUUCUAACUGCGGGUGCUUCAAGGAUAGAAAAUGUCUUACCAAAUCAGUGAAAUGCAACACUUCAUAAGGCUUGGUUUCAUCUGGCUUGGUUUUGUUCUUACCGUACUUCUCAAAGUAGCGGCAGGAAAGGUCCAGAAAAGAACGAUAAUCGGGAUUUGUUUCCUCGAUGGCAAGGCUGUAUAAUUUCUCGAGAAUGAAGAAUGGAAGCUGAUUUUCAAGCAAUAUCAAGUCCCGUUGAAUCGCAGCUCUCAGCCAGGGUUUGCCUAUGAUGAAAUCAUGUUGAUAUCGUUUGUUACCGCGUAUAUCUUCUUCAUUCUUCAAGAAGAGCUCGAAGAUGAACACUGCAUCGAACAGAAUCAUCUUCACAAACUGAUUUCUAGAAAAUUGAUGAAAGGUAUUAUCUGCAUAACAGUGUUUGAUUUUAUCUUUUUCAUCUUCAAUGGUGCUCGAAAGUACAUUCAAAGAUUCUCGCACUUGCUCCUUUGUUUCCCCUCGCAAUCUCUUACAAAAUUCUUUCAGAUAUCUUUGUUUCUGAAUUUCCAUAGGCCUCAGUUUUUCACUUUCACUAUCAUGGUGAAAAGGACCUAUAGAAAUUACCCGAGGAGUGUAGGAAGCUCUGUUUGAAUCGCAAAGUGCAGCUGGAGCUUUGUAGAUACAUUCCUCUCGCCGAAAGGUAGUCUCCAAGUCCUCUGGAAUUUCAAUUGCAAUAUCUUUGCAUGGUUUUUCAUUAUCAUUCAUAGAGUUUGAUAAUUCAUUUUCUUCCAUUUGUGGAAGUUUUCUGCUCGCAUGACAAAUAAAACAAGAGUCACCACUAGCUAUAAAAUUAACUUCUCAAAAUAAUUCUAUGCAUACUCACUAGCAAGAACUUUCAUGGCAUCUCAAAACAUCGAAUUCUAUAUAUAAAUUAUACACUAUAAGUCAAUACUAUGCAAAACAUCAAAUUUAUCAGGAGUCUGACUUUCAUGACAUCUCAAACUUUUUAUCACAGUGGAUCGUUUGGAGCAACUAGUUGCUUGCUCAGUUUCUUCUACUAACCAAACAAGCCAAAUUAGAUUUUCUAGUAAAAUACACGGUUCAGGGAUUGUAUAGCAUAAUGUUCCAUAUAUCAUGGAUAUUGGGGGUUUCUGAACUAGAUAUUGUAUAUUUACAGCCAAGAGUUCUUCCUCAAGCAUCAUGCAGUUGCCCCAAGUUAGCUAGAAGAAGGAGAAGGUACUAAAACAAACAAGCAGCUAGCAGCCUAGUGUUUUGAUCUAGAAAAAAAGAACUGCAACCAAACUUUAAUAGGAAUACAUGGAGUAAUAAAAAAUAAAAAAACUAUAACCGAACUUCAUCCCUUGCAAAGUAAG